rnacentral:rRNA from 1 species
GACGAACGCUGGCGGCGUGCCUAAUACAUGCAAGUAGAACGCUGAAGGAGGAGCUUGCUUCUCUGGAUGAGUUGCGAACGGGUGAGUAACGCGUAGGUAACCUGCCUGGUAGCGGGGGAUAACUAUUGGAAACGAUAGCUAAUACCGCAUAAGAGUAGAUGUUGCAUGACAUUUGCUUCAAAGGUGCAAUUGCAUCACUACCAGAUGGACCUGCGUUGUAUUAGCUAGUUGGUGGGGUAACGGCUCACCAAGGCGACGAUACAUAGCCGACCUGAGAGGGUGAUCGGCCACACUGGGACUGAGACACGGCCCAGACUCCUACGGGAGGCAGCAGUAGGGAAUCUUAGGCAAUGGACGGAAGUCUGACCGAGCAACGCCGCGUGAGUGAAGAAGGUUUUCGGAUCGUAAAGCUCUGUUGUAAGAGAAGAACGAGUGUGAGAGUGGAAAGUUCACACUGUGACGGUAUCUUACCAGAAAGGGACGGCUAACUACGUG